UGAAUUGACGGGGAGCACACAACGGGUGGAGCUUGCGGUUUAAUUGGAUUCAACGCCGGAAAUCUUACCGGGACCGACAGCAAUAUGAAGGCCAGGCUGAAGACUUUGCCGGAUUAGCUGAGAGGUGGUGCAUGGCCGUCGUCAGUUCGUACUGUGAAGCAUCCUGUUAAGUCAGGCAACGAGCGAGACCCACGCCCACAGUUGCCAGCGUACUCUCUGGAGUGACGGGUACACUGUGGGGACCGCCGCUGCUAAAGCGGAGGAAGGAAUGGGCAACGGUAGGUCAGUAUGCCCCGAAUAUCCCGGGCUACACGCGAGCUACAAUGGUUGGUACAAUGGGUAUCUACCCCGAAAGGGGACGGGAAUCUCCUAAACCCAUCCGUAGUUCGGAUUGUGGGCUGCAACUCGCCCACAUGAAGCUGGAAUCUGUAGUAAUCGUGUCUCAAAAUGGCACGGUGAAUAUGUCCCUGCUCCUU
rnacentral:rRNA from 1 species